rnacentral:rRNA from 1 species
AGCAUAAUCAGUAGUCUUUUAAUUGAAGGCUUGUAUGAAUGGUUGGACGAGAUAUUAACUGUUUCAUUUUAAUUUUUUUUUGAAUUUAAUUUUUUAGUUAAAAAGCUAAAAUUUAUUUAAAAGACGAGAAGACCCUAUAAAUCUUUAUAUUGGAAUUAUUAUUAUUAUUUAGAUUUAUUUUAUAAUAAUAAUUAAUAAUAUUUUAUUGGGGUGAUAUUAAAAUUUAUAAAACUUUUAACUUUUAAUUACAUUAAUUUAUGAAUAAAUGAUCUGUUUUUAACGAUUAAAAAUAUAAGUUACUUUAGGGAUAACAGCGUAAUUUUUUUGGAGAGUUCUUAUCGAUAAAAAAGAUUGCGACCUCGAU